UACGAAGGGGGCUAGCGUUGUUCGGAUUUACUGGGCGUAAAGCGCACGUAGGCGGGUUGUUAAGUCAGGGGUGAAAUCCUGGAGCUCAACUCCAGAACUGCCUUUGAUACUGGCAACCUAGAGGCUGGAAGAGGUUAGUGGAAUUCCCAGUGUAGAGGUGAAAUUCGUAGAUAUUGGGAAGAACACCAGUGGCGAAGGCGGCUACUGGUCCAGAUCUGACGCUGAGGUGCGAAAGCGUGGGGAGCAAACAGG
rnacentral:rRNA from 1 species